rnacentral:ncRNA from 1 species
AACCUCUGGAGAACUCUUAAAUGAGUGCCGACGGUGCAAGGCUUUCGGGCAGCGCGCAUUCCCAUGUGCCCCGGAACAAAGCCGAAUCUCUCAGGCAAAAGGACAGAGAA